rnacentral:misc_RNA from 1 species
UCGUAACAAGGUUUCCGUAGGUGAACCUGCGGAAGGAUCAUUACUGAGUGAGGGUCCCUCGGGGCCCAACCUCCCACCCGUGUAUACCGUACCUUGUUGCUUCGGCGAGCCCGCCCCCCUUCCUUAGGGGUGGCACAGCGCUCGCCGGAGACACCAACGUGAACACUGUCUGAAGUUUUGUCGUCUGAGUCGAUUGUAUCGCAAUCAGUUAAAACUUUCAACAAUGGAUCUCUUGGUUCCGGCAUCGAUGAAGAACGCAGCGAAAUGCGAUAAUUAAUGUGAAUUGCAGAAUUCAGUGAAUCAUCGAGUCUUUGAACGCACAUUGCACCCCCUGGUAUUCCGGGGGGUAUGCCUGUCCGAGCGUCAUUGCUGCCCUCAAGCACGGCUUGUGUGUUGGGUCGUCGUCCCCCCCGGGGGACGGGCCCGAAAGGCAGCGGCGGCACCGCGUCCGGUCCUCGAGCGUAUGGGGCUUUGUCACCCGCUCUUGUAGGCCCGGCCGGCUGCUGGCCGACGCUGAAAAGCAACCAAUCUAUUUCAUCAGGUUGACCUCGGAUCAGGUAGGGAUACCCGCUGAACUUAAGCAUAUCAAUAA